UGAACAAAUCUAAAUAUCUUUUAUUUAUUUAUUUUUUAAACAGUUACUGAAAUUUUUUCACCCAAAUUAUCAAAUGCUGAUUUGUUUUUGAGAGCGAGUGGAGAGACCUACUGAGAUUGAAUUAUGAAUGUGGUGUUUGAGCUCUCCCAGUGUCAUGUCAGAUCCAUUUUAGUGUAUGAUUUUAGUUAAAAGUGCUAAGUUACAUCCCACAUAGACCAACAAAUGAAAUGAAACAAGAAAAUAAAAUGCUUAAAGGAAAUUAUCCCAUGCUUUAUGUCCACCUUUCUACCCCUUCCAAAACUAAUAAAUAAAUUAAAUGAAGCCUUAUGUCCACCUCUUUUGCUCCAUUGUUGUUUUAGACACUACAGCAUUGCUCCCGUGUAAACUCCUGGGUUUGUACACUCAAUAGAAAGGGAGGCCAAAAGUUCCUUGAUGGAGAAUAUUGCAGUUAUGGAUACUCUUAGCCUUAGACUGGACAAGCGAUUUGGGUGUUUUUUGCCGCUCUGCUGUUGUAUGAAAGGAAGGAAUCUGCCUUCAUUAAUCUACUGUCGCCUUUGCAAAGCUUAUCAAACACUUUUAAGAUCAAUGAUCUAGCUGUAGAUUUUUAUGUUAAUCUUAUUCUACAAUGUUCUUUGAUUUUUACUAUUUUAAAUGCUUUACA